UUUUAACGGCUGCGGUAUUUUGACUGUGCUAAGGUAGCAUAAUCAUUUGUUAUUUAAUUGAUAGCUGGAAUGAAAGGUUAAACUAGCUUAUUAGGUUUGUAAAAUUAUACAAGAAAUUAAAGUUAAGGUAAGAAUUCUUUAAUUUUCUAGGGGACGAUAAGACCCUAGAAGCUUGACGAGUUGGGAUUUUGGUUUGUUUUAGAAAUUUAUUCGUUUUACUGGGGUGGUAAAAAUAAGUAAGCUAUUUGUAUACUUAAAGGAUCCUUAAAAUAAAGAAAAAAUGGAAAAGUUACUCUAGGGAUAA
rnacentral:rRNA from 1 species